UACAGAGGUGGCAAGCGUUGCUCGGUAUCACUGGGCUUAAAGGGCGCGUAGGCGGUGCGGUACGGUUUCAGUGAAAUCCCUCGGCCCAACCGAGGAACAGCUGGGGCUACGGCCGCACUAGACGGCAUCAGGGGACAGUGGAACUCCCGGUGGAGCGGUGAAAUGCGUAGAUAUCGGAAGGAACGCCGGUGGCGAAAGCGACACACUGGAUCUUGUCUGACGCUGAGGCACGAAAGCCAGGGGAGCGAACGGG
rnacentral:rRNA from 1 species